rnacentral:lncRNA from 1 species
GGGCAGGUACACUUCUCAAUGGGUCAGAGACUUCUAGGACAAGGAGAAGAGAGUGCAGCAAUCCUGGGCAGGUCAGGCUAGGCUAAGGAAGAGCCUAGGAUGGAGAGAAGACUGCCUAGAUAUUUGGAGUUUCCAUAUCUUGUCCUAGUGUCUCCUAACCCAGAGAAGCUAUCCUAGAGAUGGGAGUUUCCACUUGACAUCCAAGGGUCAGUACUGGGGAGAGCUGUGAGAGGGAGUUAAUGUGCUAUGGACACCAGACAAGUGGAAGACUAGAAGGAAUCAGAAUCCACAUGGAGUAUAAGGAGCCACAGCUAAAUCCACACGGUGCAGGCUCCUGUGGGAGGGGCGUCUCAGCUCAGAGGCAGAGGAAACAGAAGAGCCCCAAAUGUGCUCCUGGAAACCCAUCUGGAUCCCAGGUGAGAAGAGACCCUCCUAAGAUUUCCAAAGACCACCCUUGGCCCUGUCCUCAGACCAGAGGCCAGUCCCUGCUCCUAGCCCACGUUCAGGAAGACGAGACCUCGGCCAGUCCUGGAAGAAGGGUUGCUUAUCUCCCUGGUAGGCUUUGAGAAAUCCUGCCCCGAAGCCUGGGUGGCCCUCACCUAAGGGAACAAACUGUACCCGGAAUCACCCUUCAGUGACCCUUGCUCAUGGAGGAGGCAUGAUGUAAAAAGUCCCCAAAUCCUCCCUCUUUGGCUUUAUAAUGCAUUAUCUUAUUACUUCCAGAUGCUUUUACUAAUAAUACUUGCUUGAUCUAACAUAAGAAUGAGCCUGUGUUCCCUGAACACCCAGUGGAUGUGGGGAAAUAAUCAAGAAGUGAGUGAGAAAACAGAAUAUUUUGGAUUAAAUAUAGUUUUUGGUUUUUUAUUUUUAUUUUUUGCCUGAAUGCUUCUCACAGUUGGUAAUCCACCCAUAAUAACAUUCAGAUCAGAAAGGAACAAAUAAGACUAUCUUGAUUUCCAGAUAACAGUGAAUAAUGUAGAAAAUUCUGAGGAAUCUAAAAACAAACCAACAAAAAC